CGAUAAGCGCCGGUAAGGUGAUAUGAACCGUUAUAACCGGCGAUUUCCGAAUGGGGAAACCCAGUGUGAUUCGUCACACUAUCAUUAACUGAAUCCAUAGGUUAAUGAGGCGAACCGGGGGAACUGAAACAUCUAAGUACCCCGAGGAAAAGAAAUCAACCGAGAUUCCCCCAGUAGCGGCGAGCGAACGGGGAGGAGCCCAGAGCCUGAAUCAGCAUGUGUGUUAGUGGAAGCGUCUGGAAAGGCGCGCGAUACAGGGUGACAGCCCCGUACACAAAAGCGCAUGUGCUGUGAGCUCGAUGAGUAGGGCGGGACACGUGGUAUCCUGUCUGAAUAUGGGGGGACCAUCCUCCAAGGCUAAAUACUCCUGACUGACCGAUAGUGAACCAGUACCGUGAGGGAAAGGCGAAAAGAACCCCGGCGAGGGGAGUGAAAAAGAACCUGAAACCGUGUACGUACAAGCAGUGGGAGCACAGGUUUACCUGUGUGACUGCGUACCUUUUGUAUAAUGGGUCAGCGACUUAUAUUCUGUAGCAAG
rnacentral:rRNA from 1 species